rnacentral:lncRNA from 1 species
UUCAAAAAUUUUUUCUUUUUCUUUCCUUGAAUUGAGGUGAGAAAAGUGAUCUAUGUGAUGUUUGGUGGUGAUUAGCAUGUGUUUUGAAAAGCUAUGCUUUGUGAUGUAAAAAUUUGGUUGAGUUAGUUUACCCCAAAUUGGGAAUUUUUGACUUGAUGAUCAAGGUGAUGAAUUGAUGAUGAAAAUGAGUUUAUGAGGUGUAUAUGAUGAUGAUUGAUGGAGUAAAUUGAGUAUAUGAUGUCAAUUGGAGUUUUGAUUGAGAUUAGUUUACUAGAAUUAGGGAUAUGUGUAUAUAUGCCCUUAUUUGUGAAUUGAUGGUUUUGAUGUGAGAUUAAAUGACAAAAAUUGAUAGAUAUAUGAUGAGAUUAAAGAUCCAUGUGAGUUUAUAAAAUUUCUUAGAGUUUAGUUUAAUAAAAAUUAGGAUCUUCUUGUCUAUGUGUCCAUUAAGUGAUUCAACUUAAGAUAUGUGUAAUUGAGCAUGAUAGUAGUGUUUUAAUAUGUUUGAUUAAGUCUAAUGUAAGCUAAGUAAAAUUUGGACUUAGUUUAGUUUGAAGGAGUUUUUGAGUUCUCAUAUGAUGUGGGGUUAACGAAUGAUAAAAUGAGGUCAAAUUGAUUUAUGAUCAUUUUGUGAAGUUGUCAUGCUUUUGUUGAGAAUUUUAUGAUGAUAUAUGAGUUUUUCACUAGAGUUAGUUUACAUGAUAAAAAGGGAAAUAUAUGUGUAAAAUGAGUUACAUGAUGUAUGAGGUCAAUAAUGAAUGAUUG